GUGUCAGCCGCCGCGGUAAGACGAACCGUGCGAACGUUGUUCGGAAUCACUGGGCUUAAAGGGCGCGUAGGCGGUUCUCCAAGUCAGGGGUGAAAUCCUGCGGCUUAACCGUAGAAGUGCCUUUGAUACUGGAGAUCUCGAGGGAGGUAGGGGUCCGUGGAACUUCUGGUGGAGCGGUGAAAUGCGUUGAUAUCAGAAGGAACGCCGGUGGCGAAAGCGACGGACUGGAUCUCUUCUGACGCUGAGGCGCGAAAGCUAGGGGAGCAAACGGGAUUAGAUACCCCGGUAGUCC
rnacentral:rRNA from 1 species